rnacentral:rRNA from 1 species
AUGGUUUGCCCCGCAGCCCCGAAGCCUCUUUCCAAUCCUUUCCGUCAUCCGCACGCCUCUGUUGGGCAAAUCGGAUCUCACGGAGGAGCUUCAGCCGCGGCCGUCGUUGACCGUCCGAAUCCACCGCCCGCACCAGGACGACGCCGCCAUCGACGCCCGACUUCGCCGGAGCACGCCGGAGUUCAGGAGCUCGCCACCGCCGCUCGAGGGAGCCCCGUCGCCGUUGAACACCACCACCACCUCCACCACUCACCGCCGCACCCAUCCGUCGCUUCACCUUCGCCGGAGAGCCACCGCCGCCGACGCCCGAAACCGCCGCCGUUUUCCUCUGUAAACGAUUGUCCGGAGUGCGACGCGAGCUAUUGUCAGGAGUGUGACCUUCUGAACCAGAAUCAAGGAUAUUCAGACGAAGAGUAA